rnacentral:rRNA from 1 species
AUACGGAGGGUGCAAGCGUUAAUCGGAAUUACUGGGCGUAAAGCGCACGCAGGCGGUCUGUCAAGUCGGAUGUGAAAUCCCCGGGCUCAACCCGGGAACUGCAUUCGAAACUGGCAGGCUAGAGUCUUGUAGAGGGGGGUAGAAUUCCAGGGGUAGCGGUGAAAUGCGUAGAGAUCUGGAGGAAAACCGGUGGCGAAGGCGGCCCCCUGGACAAAGACUGACGCUCAGGUGCGAAAGCGUGGGGAGCAAACAGGAUUAGAUACCCUGGUCGUCCACGCCGUAAACGAUGUCGACUUGGAGGUUGUGCCCUUGAGGCGUGGCUUCCGGAGCUAACGCGUUAAGUCGCCCGCCUGGGGAGUACGGCCGCAAGGUUAAA